UACGUAGGGGCCUAGCGUUGUCCGGAUUUAUUGGGCGUAAAGCGUCCGCAGGUGGCUGUGUAAGUCUGCUGUUAAAGAGUCUAGCUCAACUAGAUACAAGCAGUGGAAACUACACGGCUAGAGUACGUUCGGGGGCAGAGGGAAUUCCUGGGUGUAGCGGUGAAAAUGCGUAGAGAUCAGGAAGAACACCGGUGGCGAAGGCGCUCUGCUAGGCCGUAACUGACACUGAGGGACGAAAGCUAGGGGAGCGAAUGGGAUUAAGAUAGCCCUUG
rnacentral:rRNA from 1 species